rnacentral:pre_miRNA from 1 species
ACUUGGAGAACCUGUUGAAAUGCUGGUUCUAGUUCAGUACUGACAUUCUGCAUUUCUAACAAGCUCUCAAGUGUCACAAA